rnacentral:misc_RNA from 1 species
CAUUCAUUCAUUCACUUCCAAAGAGAGAGAGGAGAAAAACUAUGGGCAAGGAAAACGAUAGCGUUCCAUCGUCGGCGCAAGGCUUCAAGCUCGUAGGAUUUUCCAACUUCGUCAGAACAAAUCCUCGAUCCGAUCUUUUCAAGGUCAAGCGCUUUCACCACGUGGAGUUCUGGUGCACUGAUGCUACCAAUACGGCUUGUCGCUUCUCCUGGGGACUUGGAAUGCCUUUCGUAGCUAAAUCCGAUCUUUCCACUGGCAACGUCACCCAUGCUUCCUAUCUACUUCGCUCCGGCGACCUCAGCUUCCUUUUUACCGCUCCCUACUCUCCUACUAUUGCUUCCAUGGAGAACUUUUCGCACACUGCCACCGCAUCUAUCCCAACCUUCAGUCAUGAAGCGUGCCGG